CAUAAUCAAAUUUCUCAAUAUUUGACCAUAGGACAAUAAGACAAUAAGGAAAAGAAAUGUCCAGUUAUUGCAGUGAGAUACACAUACUUCCCUUAGACUUUGGAGUAGACAUUUGUAUGCCACUUGUGGGCCUUGGAUUAUAUGUUCCAAUUGCGAGCAACUCUUUAUCUUCAAAGUUUGCAAUUGUCCAAGACUAUUAGCAACUGACAUUAGGAAGAUAUAUUUCAAAUUAUUGCAUCUCUUUAUUUCAACAAUCUUCAGACUUUGGAGUAGACAUUUGUAUGCCACUUGUGGGUCUUGGAUUAUAUCUUCCAAUUGCGAGCAACUCUUUAUCUUCAAAGUAUGCAAUUGCCCAAGGCUAUUAGCAACUGACAUUGGGAAGAUAUUUCAAAUUAUUGCAUCUCUC
rnacentral:lncRNA from 1 species